rnacentral:misc_RNA from 1 species
GUGAAUCAUCAAAUUUUUGAACGCAAAUUGCACUUCCUGGCAUCCCGGGAAGUAUGCCUGUUUGAGGGUCAGUAUUAAUAAAAAAUCGGUUUAGUUACCAAUUGUUACGUUUCCGGGGUUUGGGCUAUCUUAACCUUUUUGGUUAAGAGGUUUAAAAUUGACCUUUUUUGCGCCUUUUUACACGUACCUAAAUUUUUUUUAUUCGUCUAUUCUUAUUGCCCAAAUCUUAUUCACUGCGAUCACAUCUUGUGGCUUCGUGUCCUUAAAAUUUUCAUGCUUUGACCUCAACUAAGGU